UACGGGGGGAGCAAGCGUUGUUCGGAUUUACUGGGCGUAAAGGGCGCGUAGGCGGCCUCUGCAAGUCGACUGUGAAAUCUCCGGGCUUAACCCGGAAAGGUCAGCCGAUACUGCAGGGCUAGAGUGCAGAAGGGGCAACUGGAAUUCUCGGUGUAGCGGUGAAAUGCGUAGAUAUCGAGAGGAACACCUGCGGCGAAGGCGGGUUGCUGGGCUGACACUGACGCUGAGGCGCGAAAGCGUGGGGAGCAAACGGG
rnacentral:rRNA from 1 species